rnacentral:rRNA from 1 species
AUUGAACGCUGGCGGCAUGCUUUACACAUGCAAGUCGAACGGCAACGAGGAGAAGCUUGCUUCUCUGUCGGCGAGUGGCGAACGGGUGAGUAUAGCAUCGGAACGUGCCAAGUAGUGGGGGAUAACCAAACGAAAGUUUGGCUAAUACCGCGUAAGCUCCAAGGAGGAAAGUAGGGGACCUAAAUAAGGCCUUACGCUAUUUGAUCGGCCGAUGUCGGAUUAGCUAGUUGGUGGGGUAAUGGCUCACCAAGGCAAUGAUCCGUAGCGGGUCUGAGAGGACGAUCCGCCACACUGGGACUGAGACACGGCCCAGACUCCUACGGGAGGCAGCAGUGGGGAAUUUUGGACAAUGGGGGAAACCCUGAUCCAGCCAUGCCGCGUGUAUGAAGAAGGCCUCAGGGUUGUAAAGUACUUUUGUUAGGGAAGAAAAGCUAGUUUUUAAUAAAAAUUAGUGAUGACGGUACCUAAAGAAUAAGCACCGGCUAACUACGUG